rnacentral:tRNA from 1 species
GGGCCAGUGGUCUAACGGUAAGACGCUGCCUUCGCAAGGCAGAGACUUCGGGUUCGAAUCCCGACUGGUCCA